rnacentral:rRNA from 1 species
UGUGCCAGCAGCCGCGGUAAUACGUAGGGUGCGAGCGUUGUCCGGAAUUAUUGGGCGUAAAGAGCUUGUAGGCGGUUUGUCGCGUCUGCUGUGAAAGCCCGGGGCUUAACCCCGGGUCUACAGUGGGUACGGGCAGGCUAGAGUGUGGUAGGGGAGACUGGAAUUCCUGGUGUAGCGGUGGAAUGCGCAGAUAUCAGGAGGAACACCGAUGGCGAAGGCAGGUCUCUGGGCCACUACUGACGCUGAGAAGCGAAAG